UGAAGCUUGUGUGUUCUAAAUUGCCAUUUCGAACCAAAACACAAAGUUAUUCAAACAAGAUGAGCGGCAAUCACCAGUUCUUCCCCUCUGUGCACGACUCUUCCAGCACAUCAUCUGAUAUUUGGUCCAGCUUGACUUUCAACAAUUCUCAGAGAUCCGAACAGCUGUUUGAACCCGUACCUUGGCCAGAAACAAGCAAGCUCUCAAUAGCUGAAUACCAACCGCUUGAUGCCUUCUGUCCGCCUAGUAAGGGUCCUUCUUGGUUGUCGACGACUUACCAGGAUGUCUUCAGUGAACUGGGCAUUCGCUUGGUGGAGAUCGAGUUGUUAAAAAUCAUAGGAGAACGUGGCGACAAUCAAGGAAAGAAUUUCUUUCUAAGUGAGAUGGAUGUGCAUCUGAGAAGAAUAAGAUUAAGAAGACCUAUACUAGAAAAUCCAUCAUCAAUGUAUUAAAAUUAUUUAUUUUUUUU